rfam:Gorilla gorilla gorilla genomic chromosome, chr11, whole genome shotgun sequence
GCCGGGCGCGGUAGCGGGCGCCUGUAAUCCCAGCUACUUGGGAGGCUGAGGCAGGGGAAUCGCUUGAACCCGGGAGGCGGAGGUUGCAGUGAGCCGAGAUCGUGCCACUGCAUUCCAGCCUGGACGACAGAGUGAGACUCUGUCUCAG